rnacentral:lncRNA from 1 species
UGGAACUCAGGUAGGGUGAUUGCUACUGUUGCUGAAUUUGUUUCUGGAAUCCCACAGUAGAGUAUGGGAGAAAGAUGCAGAGGCUGGAGGAGAGCCAAUGGGAGUCAGGCUCGUGUUCACCGUCAGAUCCACAACAGGAGCUAUGUGAAUCACACCACCCACCAGAGGCAGUGAGAAAAAGAUGAUGUGGGGCAAGUGGACCUGUGAAGAAAGGUUCUUUGGAGCAACUCCUGUUUGCAUUUUCAGGAAAUCAGCAGUCCAGUUGAUAGUUCGGCAGCAGCAGCUCAGUCCACUUGCAAACACUUCCUGGAUACACCAGAAGUCCAGUUUGGUGGUGUCGGGAUAGUAAACUCAAAUCAGCAGCAGUGGCAGGAACAGCUAGGCCUCAGCCAAAUCAGCACGAGGGCCCAGGAGGUAUGCCAGAAGUUCUCUGCUGUGCCUCUCUCAGCAAAGCUGGGAUCCUUGAAGACUUGAGACCAACAAGCACUGUACAGCCGGCUGCAGCAGCAAGCCAACCUUCACUGUCCAGCCAGUCCUAUUUACACUCCCUCCAAAUAUCCUGAGUCCUCCAUGGGUCUUGCCACAGCACAUGUCUUGCCUCAGUGCGUGGGUCUGUCUCAGCUUACAUCACUUUGUCAAUCAGCCUGAGUCUGUGGAAGCCACAAGAAACUGCAGCAUGGCAGCAGCAGUUUUUAUUUUUUUCUUUUCUUUUUUUUAAAAAAUAUUUAUUUUAUGCCUGUGAAUACACUGUUGCUCUCUUCUGAUACCUGAAGAGGACAUUGGAUCCCACUACAAAUGGUUGUUGUGAGCCACAAUGUGGUUGUUGGGAAUUGAACUCAGAAUCUUUGGAAGAGCAGACAAUGCUCUUAACCACUAAGCCAUCUCUCCAGCCCCAGGAGCACAAGUUUUUUGGUGUAUUUCUCUCUGUGGAGUCCUGACAAAUGUCUGCUUUAGCAAAAUGUCCUCUCACCUGUGUCUGCUUCAGGAAAACACUCCCUCACAUGUUUGCCCCAGCAAACCCCCAUGUGACACAACUGACUUUCCAAAGAACCCUUAAGUUUCCACUUCACUUGACACUCUUUUGAAACUCAUUAUCCAUUCUGCUAUCCCAACAGCAGCGAUUGUUGAAAAAAUUAACCAGCACGCAAUUGCUUUUCUCACUUAUUUAUACUCGUGAGCUCAAACACAUUUGUUGGAUGUUUGCUAAGUGUGCUGUUACCUUAAAGGAACCCCGUGCAAGGUGAGCAGACUGGACUACUGUUGCUGCUUUCUUGUGCUCACAUCCUGAGGUAAGGGAGGCAGGACUUGUCCACCUGCCUGUGGUGACUGCAGGAGCCUCCUGAGCAAGAGCUGCAUUCUUGGCAGGAGUGGGGCUUCUGGUCUGCAUUUCUUUACCUUUCGGAGACCUCAGGAGAUCUGGCGGCGGAGACGCAGCACCUGCAUGGAACAGUAUAUGGUACGAAUGCUUUGGGACUCUGCUUUGGCAAGGCCCACGGAAACCCCUUUCCACUUGAAUCACGUGAGAAUUUGCAUGUUCGGGCUCUAAAGGAAGCCUGCCCCCAGUUGGCUUUGAUUGGGAAUAAAGUGGCCAAAGGUGACUGGCUUGGCAUGGUGAAACAAGCAGGAGUUUUAGAUUGCAUAGGUAAAAACUGAGGUAGAAGGAGGAGAAGAGAAUUGCCAUGGCUCGGGGGCAGAAGGAUCAGAUGUAAGAGCUGCAAGAGAGAAGUCAUCCAGCAAUGACCUGAACCUUGUUGCUGGACCUGGCCAUUGGCAGAAAUCUUACCGGCCAUAGAGGCCAGAGCCCAUACUCACUGUGUCCAGAGACUGUAUGUUGGUAUUCCUUCUCAGAUGGGAAGGGGUCCUGUGACUUGGGAGCCAGGGAUCCACACAGUUCUCUGGUGGGACAGAAUCCUAAUGGAAGGGUAACCUGAAACACAGAAGCCCUGGAACUAAACAGUUCUGAUGUGGGGCAUUGUUCUGAUGGAAGAGUAUCCUGAAACACGGGAGACCUGGAACCACAUAGCUCUGCGAGGAAGCCUUGACAGCAGAGGUGUUACAUGGGAGAGUAUCAGGAGCCUCAUCCCUGCUCCACUUCUUAGCUUCUUCCCUUCUUUGCUUCUUUCAAUGAGAGUCACAAGCAGCAGCAAAUCUUAUAGAAGAGAUUUAUUGGUAGGAUUGAAUCCAGGGUUCGGAGGAAUAAAUCUAGGGGUGGCUGCCUUUGCUCUCAGCAGAAGGCACCAGGGAACUGAACAGUAGGGAGCUUCUAUAGCAUUUCCUAGAGUAGAGAGCGUUUCCGUGGCUGAGCUUUUCAGGGUGAGGGUUGGAGCGAUUUCAAGUUCUGAGCAUGAGGAGCUCAGGGAUUGAUGGGUUUUCCUGUUUGGGGAUUGCUGGGAUUUUUCUUCUUGUAGGGCAGAGUCUGGGCCCACUCCCACCUCAGGUUGAGAAUAGCAGUUACAGCCCUUAGAAAAUGACCACUAGAGCCAUUAGGCCAGUCUGGGAGCAGGGCCCGCUUGCUGGUGCUCCUCAGGUUGGGGCCUGGCCACAUUCCUGCCUUGGGGUCAUAUAAAGUUUACUCCCCGUUGGUGUGAAUGGCCAGCAGUGUGGGGUCAUAUUUUCCCUGUUGGAGAGCAGUGUAUUUGUCUGGCUUUCAAGUUACAGAGUCCUAAUGUCUGCUGUUCUGCUAGGUCUCUGGGUCUGCUUCCUUUGAGAUAGGAUACUCCCUCUGUCCCUGUGAUAGCUUUGCCUUACGCCUGUGUUCUACCUUGGUUUAUGCUCCAACAAGCCUGGAUACUCUUGGUUUUGUUUCAAUUUUCCAUUAUAGAAAACAAUUGUCUUUGGGGUACAGAUAAUAUGACAAAUCUAGAAAUGUAUGCUGUUUUAGCUAACCGAGAAGGCUGGCUCUAUUGUUAGGAUUUGGCAUCAGCAUCCACACAUCACACCCAACCAUGUGUGACUCUAAGGUUCUUCUGUCCUGAGUCGGUGCCCCUGAGUCUGAGACAGGUGUUGAGGGGUGGUUUUGUGCACUGUUUUUUCAGAUGUUGAUUUCUAUGCCCAGAUAUCUGGUUGCAGUCUGAACAAUGGCAUGGUCAACCAUCUCCAAUAUCUACGUUAUAUAAAAAUUGUUUUCCAUCUG